CCUAAAGCUCUUAAUAUUCUUUCCGUGAUGAUAUUAUUGAAAUAUUGAAUAUGAUAAACAAUGGAAAGUAUUUUCUCUAGUCACAUAUAUUGAAAUUCUAAAUCUCUCUUGACAUUGUAUGCAUUUUCCUGGCCAGAGGUUCUGGGAUGCUUUCAAUACUGACAUAUCUACAAUCACCUUUGCUUGGAGAAAGGAGUUAAGUGUUAUGCC
rnacentral:lncRNA from 1 species